UGCAGUCGAACGGUGACGGUGAGGAGCUUGCUCCUUGCCUGAUCAGUGGCGAACGGGUGAGUAACACGUGGGCAACCUGCCCCAGACUUUGGGAUAACUCUCCGAAAGGAGAGCUAAUACCGGAUACGACCUCGGGUGGCAUCACCUGAGGUGGAAAGCUCCGGCGGUCUGGGAUGGGCCCGCGGCCUAUCAGCUUGUUGGAGGGGUAACGGCCCACCAAGGCGACGACGGGUAGCCGGCCUGAGAGGGCGACCGGCCACACUGGGACUGAGACACGGCCCAGUCUCCUACGGGAGGCAGCAGUGGGGAAUUUUGGACAAUGGGCGAAAGCCUGAUCCAGCAAUGCCGCGUGCAGGAAGAAGGCCUUCGGGUUGUAAACUGCUUUUGUACGGAACGAAACGGUCUGCCCUAAUACGGUGGGCUAAUGACGGUACCGUAAGAAUAAGCACCGGCUAACUACGUGCCAGCAGCCGCGGUAAUACGUAGGGUGCGAGCGUUAAUCGGAAUUACUGGGCGUAAAGCGUGCGCAGGCGGUUAUAUAAGACAGUUGUGAAAUCCCCGGGCUCAACCUGGGAAUUGCAUCUGUGACUGUAUAGCUAGAGUA
rnacentral:rRNA from 1 species